rnacentral:ncRNA from 2 species
GGUCCGACCUCGGGGUGCCCGGCAUGGGCUGAGAUGCAGCGAUGCGAACCCGUUGAACCUGACCCGGCUAGGACCGGCGGAGGGAAGGUAUGGGCACUCCUC